ensembl:rRNA 5S_rRNA 5S ribosomal RNA
GGCUACGGCCAAGCUACCCUGAACAAGCCUGGUCCUAUCUGAUCUCAGAAGGUAAGCAAGGUCAGGCCUGGUUAGUAGUUGGAUGGGGGACCACCCAGGAAGACCAGAUGCUGUAGACG